rnacentral:tRNA from 1 species
GGGGCUGUAGCUCAGUGGUAGAGCACUCACCUAGCAUGUGUGAGGCACUAGGUUCAAUCCUCAGCACCA